CUCUUCAGAUGACACGUGACCUCACUGCUAGUCGUAGCAAUACAAACAAACAGUGUAUAGACAAAAUUAACAUUACACCAAACAUAAGAACAAACUGCAUAAUAAUAAUCUACGUGCUGCUACGAGAUCGCGAGAACAAGAAUUACUAAAUUCGGAGUUACAGUUAUCAAGUUAUGAAUUUCUGAAGGUUUUAUAUGUUUUGUACAAGAUUAAAUAUGAUACAAAUUUUAUUGUGAUAUUCAUGUCAAAACAGAGGUAUUAUGUGAUAAACAAUAAUAUUAUUGAAUUAUAGAAACUAAAAUGGGUAAAUUUGGGCUUAGUAUGAAUUUUCUAGGAUUAAACAAGUUCUAGCAUUUUUUUCUCACAUUAAAAAUCAUCUCUAAUUAUUUUUACUGGAUUUUAUAAGUCUCUGGACUGAGCACAUGAAAACAGGGAAGUACAGGGGUCUAACCAUAAAACUAUCUCAGACUCAGAACGUCCCUGCUACGGACGGCGGGUUGAUUACUGUGAAGUACAGGGGCUCUUAUGCAAAGUGUCGCGGCCGAAGGGGUAUCUAUGAAUCUGAAUCAUCCGAUCAAAAUCCUAGGGCUCAGAUUAGAUCGCUGAUAUCCUAAACCAGCGCGCGGAAAUAGCCAUCGGAUUUCUGAUCUACGGUUUGGAUCACAUGCGGGUUCCGAUCAACACCGGUCGAACGAUCCUAAAUCUAUGGACGAGGCGCAACACUCAUGUGAUCUAAUCACCACCGUUAACUCCUGGAUCUAGGACCACGGCUGGUUCUUCCCCAGACGACCAGAGCGGCGAUGCUGUCCCAUCCCGCGGUGUAGACGACGGCGCCAACGCGCGGUGCAGGAGCCCGACAUGCGCGCACAGCGAAGGCUCAGCAGGGAUCGAGAAGAAGAACUCACCGCCAAUGGAGGAGGUCGGCCGAUGAUGGAGCGCGGAUCCGUAGCGAGGCGCAGACCCAGAGCUCGUGCCUUCUCCCCGCGACGGCUUUCCCACGAUCACCCCUCAUAGCAGCGAUGGUGAGCAAAUACUGGAAUGACCCAGGAGAAAACGACGGUCGUAUUUAUGCUGCCUAGGAGCGAGAACGACCCGGCCAGUCGAGGCGCAAAGAUCGGCUAUCCGUUACAGAGAUGCGAUGGGAUCCCAACAAAUUGAGGUGUGUGUUUCGGUCUCCAACGAAUGAAGAAUCUGUCCAACAGUACCAUGCGUUGGGUGCUAUUGUGAUGAGGUAUUUUCCGGCCAA
rnacentral:lncRNA from 1 species